GAGUUUGAGAGUUUGAACGGGAUCCAGCAGGACAUUAAGGAAAUGAUGACCAAAUGCAGAGAUGCUUCCCGUCCUUCUACUUGAACAAGGUUGAGUCAUCUUUGCAGGUGAUGCUGACGUGUGUGGCCAAUCGGAUCAAGCGGAUGCACUGAUUUUGACUUGAGGGAAGAGCUACAGUCGCUCAUGCGGACAGACUGAUGCCACAGAGAGAGAGCCGACUGGUGGAGGUAGGAUAUGAGUCUCCCUGUCAGCGGCAGAGGAGAGGGGGAGUCAGGUGUAAUGAGGGAAGACGUUUCUGAUUUACCCUCUCCUCCCCUCAGUCACAUAUCAAAGGACUGAAAGCAGUGAUGA